rnacentral:rRNA from 1 species
UACGAAGGGGGCUAGCGUUGCUCGGAAUCACUGGGCGUAAAGGGCGCGUAGGCGGCCGAUCAAGUCGGGGGUGAAAGCCUGUGGCUCAACCACAGAAUUGCCUUCGAUACUGGUUGGCUUGAGACCGGAAGAGGUAAGUGGAACUGCGAGUGUAGAGGUGAAGUUCGUAGAUAUUCGCAAGAACACCAGUGGCGAAGGCGGCUUACUGGUCCGGUUCUGACGCUGAGGCGCGAAAGCGUGGGGAGCAAACAGG